UCUGCAGUGUUGUACAGAUUCCCAGUGGU
rnacentral:piRNA from 1 species